rnacentral:tRNA from 1 species
GCACUGAUGGUUCAGUGGCAGAAUUUUUGCUCUCCAUGCAGGAGACACGGGUUUGAUUCCCGGCCAAUGCA